UGGUGAGUAGCGAACCGAAAGGGGGAGCGACCCGUCAAAUCGGGCCAUCACACAGGUGCUGCAUGGCUGUCGUCAGCUCGUGCCGUGAGGUGUUGGGUUCAGUCCCGCAACGUAGCGCAACCCUCGCCCUUUGUUGCCAUUCGGGUAAAGCCGGGCACUCUAAGGGGACUGCCAGCGACAAGUUGGAGGAAGGAGAGGAUGACGUCAAGUCAUCAUGGCCUUUAUGCCUAGGGCCACACACGUGCAACAAUGGCCGGUACAGACGGAGGCAAUGCCGAGAGGCGGAGCAAACCCGAGAAAACCGGUCCCAGUUCGGAUUGAGGUCUGCAACUCGACCUCAUGAAGUCGGAAUCGCUAGUAAUCGCAUAUCAGAACGAUGCGGUGAAUACGUUACCCGGGCCUUGUACACACCGCCCGUCACACCACGAAAGUUUGUUGUACCCGAAGUCGGUGCCUUAACCUCGCAAG
rnacentral:rRNA from 1 species